GGAAGUUGAAAUUGGGCAUGCUAUUUAUCCAAAAGUGAAAAUGCUGCCCCCUAUACCUUAAGAAGCUAAUGAAGGAAACUCCCAUUUCCUUUUGAGUUUAACUAAAUCAGAGGACCGGCCAUGAGCCCAGUUCGGACCUGGCGUCAUGAGACAGCCUUUUUCUGCUCCCCCGAAUUAAACCUCCACUUUGAGAAUUUCUCAACAGACCAUGUUUCCCUUAAUUACGAGAGGACAAAGGUUGCAGACCAACUUACCUCGAAAACGAGAGGGCUAAGGUUUGAGUAGUUUAGUUGGCUGAAUCUUUUAACCAUACCACGUGGUUAAACUCUUAGACUAACGACAGAAUAAGAACAAGUCUUUGAUAUUUUAAUUACUAGUCUGCAGCUAGGAAUUCGGUAUCAUUGAACGCGAAGACCGACAACCGCCGAAACAUUUAUCCAUAACGACAUGAAUGAAUGUCACUCUGAACUAUCCAUUCUAACCAUGACAUAGAGAGCAGACAAACUCUCCAAAAGAAACAAACUUUUCAACAGACACCCCGACGACAUACUGAGCGUAAAUAUAUAUAUUGAUUGCAAUUGUUCUCGAAUGAGUGAGCAUUCAUGUGCAAAGGAUUAGCAUUUCAAUUGUUAUAAAUAUCAACUUUGUCGUGUCUCAUCUCAGUCAACCCCUACUUCCCUUUUGUACACCGAUCCACGAUGCCAGUUUAUCCCACUAGGGAAACUCUGUUAUCAUUUCUUUGUAACUAUCUACUGUUUGUUUAUGCAUUUCUGUGAAUUACUUAGUUAGUAAAUAAGUGAUUUAAGACAAUUGAUGUAUGGAUGAAGACUGGGUUCGUGCAGGUAACCAACCAUUUACGACGUUUGGAAGGAGACUAACGUGAGCAGCUACAGACAGAGCCAGGCUGAAGAAUCCAUUGAGUCCCUUUGAUCCGAGAAGCAGCAGGGCGAGGAAAGCACAGACAGAGAGACCAAGAGGCAGGCUGAAAAGAGAGACACGGAUGGAGGAUGAAAAUAAUAGCAGAGGCUGUACAGUUGCAUUCUCGGGAAGUGUUUGUCUUUCCUGUACAAGCAGCAUAUGUGAAGUACCCACUGGGCACAAACUGGUUAAAUAAAAUUUGUUUCAACUUCAUUUGUCAA